rnacentral:rRNA from 1 species
GAUGAACGCUGGCGGCGUGCCUAAUACAUGCAAGUCGAGCGAACAGACGAGGAGCUUGCUCCUCUGACGUUAGCGGCGGACGGGUGAGUAACACGUGGAUAACCUACCUAUAAGACUGGGAUAACUUCGGGAAACCGGAGCUAAUACCGGAUAAUAUAUUGAACCGCAUGGUUCAAUAGUGAAAGACGGUUUUGCUGUCACUUAUAGAUGGAUCCGCGCCGCAUUAGCUAGUUGGUAGGUAACGGCUUACCAAGGCAACGAUGCGUAGCCGACCUGAGAGGGUGAUCGGCCACACUGGAACUGAGACACGGUCCAGACUCCUACGGGAGGCAGCAGUAGGGAAUCUUCCGCAAUGGGCGAAGGCCUGACGGAGCAACGCCGCGUGAGUGAUGAAGGUCUUCGGAUCGUAAAACUCUGUUAUUAGGGAAGAACAAAUGUGUAAGUAACUAUGCACGUCUUGACGGUACCUAAUCAGAAAGCCACGGCUAACUACGUG